CUACCCCUGAAGCUUACUGUUAGUGGUCGAGUUUUUCUGGAAGUGGGCUUCCGCGAUCGCGGGGACCAACGCCCUGAGCUCUUGUGCCCAAAGGGGAUCGCCAGGUUUUUUGAUGCGGAUCGAAAGGGACUGGCCCCGGAGCCUACAACCUGACGCAGGUGGGACUUGGGGAAAUGUCGAGAAACCUAGGUCUGGGACUUGAGUUGGCUUCCAGGGCACACAUUCUUGUUCAGAAGAAACACAUUGCAAAAAUCGGGAGGUGACGGGCAGAUGAAGUGUCGGCGCUUCGCCUCGGGACUCCAGUGCAACCUAUGGGGCUUUUGGAAAUGAGGAAGUCGAUGACUCUGCAGGGACUCCUCUGACCCAGGAGCAGAUGGCGCUCGUCUGGGCACUCCCCAGGAGAAAAGGUGCAUCGGGAAGCAGCCUGGCUUGUGGAUGGUGGACAAGGUGGAGGAGAGAGAAUUCCUUGGCAGUAGCAUUAUGAACAAAUGCAGGGCUGAGAAACAGCAUGGUGGCCUUGACUAAGUUUAUGGCGACAGCAGGUAAGAUAAGGAAACAGCUGAAUUUAUGUCACUUGCCCAAUGUCACACAACUAGCAAGACUGACUCCUUGAAGCUCAUCACAUGUAAGAACUGCUUUAGAGCAGUGGUCUUCAAACUUUGAAAGCAUAUCCUGUUGAAAAAUUAUGUAUCCACUUCUACAUUUUUAAGUUGACAUCUAAAAAUUUCACAUCAUAAGUUUAAACAGUUGUAAAAAAUGUGAUUUCUGGUAUAUUGUGAAUUAUGACAUUUUAAAAUGUAUUCCAUCACUCCUCUAAAUGUAUUCAGUGGUUUCUAAAUACCAUAGUGAUUUAAAUCUAUCAUCAAUUUAAAAAAAAAAACAAGCUUUUUUUUUUAACAUUAGAUAUUUUGCAUCUUUUUCUCUCUUUUUUUUUUUUUUUUUGAGACAGACUCUCACUGUGUCACCCAGGCUGGAGUGCAGUGGCACAAUCUUGGCUCAUUGCAACUUCCACUUCCCAGGUUCAAGUGAUUCUCCUGCCUCAGCUUCCCAAGUAGCUGGGAUUACAGGCGUACGCCACCAUGCCCAGUUAACUUUUGUAUUUUUAGUAGAGACGGCGUUUCAUCAUGUUGGCUAGGCUGGUCUUGAACUCCUGACCUCAAGUGAUCUGCCCACCUUGGUCUUCCAAAGUACUGGGACUACAGGCAUGAGAAACCAAGCCCGGCCAUCUUUCUCUUUUUUACUUGAAUUCAGUCUUUUUAUUCUUCUUCCAUUCCUCUCUCUCUCUCUCUUUUUUUUUUUGAGACAGUCUCACUAUGUCACCCAGGCUGGAGUGCAGUGGCGCAAUCUCGGCUCACUGCAGCCUCUACCUCCCAGAUUCAAGCGAUUCUCCUGCCUCAGCCUCCUGAGUAGUUGGGACUACAGGUGCGUGCCACCAUGCCCGGCUAAUUUUUUUGUAUUUUUAGUAGAGAUGGGGUUUCACCAUUUUGGCCAGGAUGGUCUCAAUCUCCUGACCUCGUGAUCUGCCUGCCUUGGCCUCCCAAAGUGCUGGGAUCACAGGCAUGAACCACCGCUCCUGGCCUCUUUCUUUCUUUUCUGUUCUUUUCCAUCUGCCCUCCCCAAACAUCUCCCUCCCUACCUCCCUCCCUCCCUACUUUCCUUGCUUCCUUCCUUCCUCUCUUUCUGUUUCUCUAUUUUUCUUUUUUUCCUUCUUUUUUGAGACCAUCUCACUCUGUUGCCCAGGAUGGAAUGCAGUGGCACAAUCUUAGCUCACUACAACCUCUGCCUCCCAGGUUCAAGCAAUUCUCCUGCCUCAGCCUCCCAAGUAGCUGGGACCACAGGCAGAUGCCACCACACCAAGCUAAAGUUUUUUUUUUAUUUUUCAUAGAGACAGGGGAUCUCAUUAUGUUGCCCAAACUGGUCGUGAACUCCUGGGCUCAAGUGCUCUGCCUGCCUCGGCCUCCCAAAGUGUAGGGAUUACAGGCGUGAGCCACUGUGCACGUUGGGACUAAUAUUUUCUUAUUCGUAUUUCCAUGGCAGAAUAUUCCUCACUGCUAGAAUGAGACCAGAGGUCAAAAUCAGCUCUAUGUCUGUUUGUCAUUCUUAUGGAUAUGAGAAAUUGUGUUCACACAAGUAGAUAGGAAUGAAAGGAAUUUUGAAAUAGAAAUGCAGUUCUAAUUUUUCUAACUUCCAUAUUACGUGCCAAAAAUCACAUAAUAAUCUAUCAUAAGAUUCUCUAGUCCUCUCUCAUCUGGUGAUCUUCUUUUCCACGCUUUCUUUGCAACCCCCUCAUGUGGCCAACAUUUAGAGUAAUGUUUUCCAACUUCUUUUUCUUCAGCUCACAGUAAUAAAUACAUUUUACAUCUUGACUCCUGAAUGUAUAUGAAUUUAUAACGGAAGGUUUUAUAAUUCACUCCUUUCCCUUGCUACUUAUAAGUAAAAGUAAAAAGUUAGUAUUAAAUAUGCAUUUAAUCAUAUUUAAAUAGUCGUGCAUUGUUUAAUGACAGGGAUACAUUCUGAGAAAUGUGUUGUUAGGUGAUUUCAUCCUUGUGCAGACUCACAGAGUGCACUUAUACAAACCUAGAUCAUACAGCCUACUACACACCUAGGCUGUUUGCUAUAACCUAUUGCUCCUAGGCUAUAAACCUGUGCAGCAUGUUACUGUACUGAGUAUUGUAGGCAAUUAUAACACAAUGAUAAUAUUUGUAUACCUAAACAUAUCGAAACAUAGAAAAGGCACAGUAAAAAUACAACAUAAAAGAUUUUUUAAAAUGGUACACCUGGCCGGGUGCAGUGGCUCACACCUGUAAUACUAACACUUUGGGAGGCCAAGGCAGGUGGAUCACUUGAGGUCAGGAGUUUGAAACCAGCCUGGCCAACAUGGUGAAACUCCGUCUUUACUAAAAUACAAAAAAAUUAGCCAGUAUGGUGGCAGGCACCUGUAAUCCCAGAUACUUGGGAGAUUGAGGCAGUAGAAUCACUUGAACCUGGGAGGCGGAGGUUGCAGUGAGCCAAGAUCAUGCCACUGCACUCCAGCCUGGGCAAUAGAGCAAAACUCCAUCUCCAAACAAAAAAAAGUAUACUUGUAUAGGACACUUAUGGAGCUUGCAGGACUGGAAGUUGCUCUGGGUGAGUCAGUGAGUGGUGAAUGAAUGUGAAGACCUAGGACAAUACUGUACACUACUGUAGACUUUAUAAACACUACAUUUAGGCUACACUAAAUUUGUAAAAAAUAUUUUUCUUCAAUAGUAAAUUAACCUUAGCUUACUAUAACUUUUACUUUACAAACUUUUAAAUUAUUUAUUUAUUUUAUUUUAUUUAUUUAUUUUUUUGAGAUGGAGUCUUGCUCUGUCGCCCAGGCUAGAGUGCAGUGGCGCGAUCUCAGCUCACUGAAACCUCUGCCUCCCGGGUUCAAGUGAUUCUCCUGCCUCCGCCACGCGAUGCCUCUUCAUGGGUGGUGGAUGAAGAAACUGAACAGGGCCAUGAUCCUUAUCUGUAAUUUCCCGGCUACCACACUGCUUUGGUGGUCUUCCCUCGUCUCUUCCUGGGUAGAAACAACUACCUGGAGAUCCCAAUGUUCUUGUCAGUGCACUUUUCAUGGACUGCAGUGGUAAGACGAUGUGUUGGAUGCCCAAACACAAACCAACCUACUUCAUACUGGGUGGAAUUUUUAUGAUUAGCGCCCUUCUCUCAUUCUGCUUGAACUUUUUGUUGCUGACCUUCCCUCAGUUAUUCCCUGAGACCCAGAAACAGUAUAUUUUCUGUGCAUCCAUCUGCAUUGUCACAGGAGCCCUCUACCUUCGCAAUUCCCGGUGCUGUGGAGCUGUCAGAGUUUUAACAUCUCAACCAAGCCACAUGGAUACUAUUUCCUCAGAAAAGACAAAAUUGAUCCAAGCAGAAGAGUGAACUCACCGAAGAGGACUCUCUACCCAUAACUGGGGAUGCCUCAGCCACUCACACUUACUCCAAGAUUAGUGUCACUGAUUAUGGAAAGAAUUGACUUCUUCCCCUGGUCUUGCUCAUUUUUCUAGAGCCCAGGACAAUAAAUGUGUUUUACGGCAGAGAAAAGUGAAGACGGGUGGAAUUGUGUGUGUUGAGAGAGAAGCAGAUAGGCAAUCUUACGCUUUGGCUCCUAGAUUAUGCAGGUGCCUCUUUUCUAUCAUCUCCAUAAAUCCUACCCUUACUGCGCUUCCUAUUCUGCAGGGGUAUUUUGUUGUCCGUAACAGAACUCCUCCUCUGUCUGUAAAGUUUAGGUUUUGAUAAAAAAUCCUCUUCCCUCCAGAAGCGUCUACUAAAAAUACAAAAAAAUUAGCUGGGUGUGGUGGCAUCCACCUGUAGUCCCAGUUACUCAGGAGACUGAGGCAGGAGAAUCGCUUGAAACUGGGAGGCGGAGGUCGCAGUGAGCCAAGAUCAUGCCACCGCACUCCAGCCUGGGUGAGAGUGAUACUCCGUCUCAAAAAACAAAUGAACAAUAAAAAACAAACAAAAAAGAAAUAAAUGUCUAGGGCUAGGUGCCAUGGCUCAUGCCUAUAAUCCCAGCACUUAGGGAGACAUAGGUGGGCAGAUCACUUGAGGUCAGGAUUUCGAGACCAGCUGGACAACAUGGCAAAACCCUGUCUCUGUUAAAAAUACAAAAAUUAGCCAGGUUUGGUGGCCCACACCCAUUGGGAGGCUGAGGCAUGAAAGUCACUUGAACCUGUGGAACCUGGGAGGUGGAGGUUGCAGGGAGCCAAGAUCAUGCCACUGCAGGUGAGCCUGGGUGACAGAGCAAGACUCUGUCUCAAAAAAAAAAAAAAAAAAAAAAAAAAGAGAGAGAAAGAAAUAAGUGUCUAGAAUAUUUUAAAGGCUAUGGAAAUAAAGCAGGAAUAUUUUCAUGAAAGGCAGCUUAUAAAGGAUGAGGAUGGUUUUCUCUUUAGGGUAAAGGAACUAAUAUUUAUUAAGCACUUACUAUUUAUCAGGCAGUAUGUGACAUACAAUGUAUGUGGGAGUGUGUGUGUGUCUUUCCUCACAAUUAUUUUAUAGAGUAGGGGUUAGUACAAUGAAGAUGUUGUAGCUUAGAGAGAGGAAGUGGCAAAACCAGAAUUGGAAAACAAGACUGUUGGGCUCCAAGGUCCAUGCACUUUUCCCCUUUAAAGGUCUUAGGUAAAGAGUAGACCCAUUUGGAUAGGCCCAAACUAACAGUCUAUCUCCAGAGUCCUUGUCCUAAAUUCUUUACCCCACUGCCUUCUGAGAGGAAGUUCAUCUUUUUACCAGGGAGUAGCCACCUUCAGAAGAAUUCUCCUGUCUAUAUAACCAAAUUAAUAGAAUCCUGGUAAAUCAACUGGAAUGUUAACUGUUCUGAUUUUCAACUGUUUUUACCUUCAUCAUUAAUACUGAAUAUGGACUGUAGGUUGGAUAACUGCUGUUCAAGGUAAGGAACUCUGAGCAGCAGCCUUGAGCUACCAAGGCAUUAAAUAGGAUUUUUGCUUAAAAAUCCUAUAUUUUUGCUUAAAAAUAUUAAAAAUAUGACUGAGUAUAUGUAUAUAUUCCCCCCACAUUCCAAAGAUAAACACUGUUAAGCAUGUAAAGCACAUUUUACUGUAUAUAUAUGGGUGGCAUAUGUGUGUGAGUGUGUGUGUGUAUACAUAUAUACACAUACACUUCUAGACAUUUAUAUACAUGUGUUGUGUGUAUAUGUUGUGUAUGUUUUUAAAAAGGGAUUGUCUUUGGCUGGGCACAGUGGCUCACGCCUGUAAUCCCAGCACUCUGGGAGGCUGAGGCAGGAGGAUUCCUUGAGCUCAGGGUUUUAAGAGCAGCCUGGCCAACAUGGCAAAACCCCAUCUCUACUAAAAAUACAAAAAUUAAAAAAAAGAAAUUUAUCUGGAUGUGGUGGCGCCACCUGUAAUCUCAGCUACUUGGGAGGCUGAGGCAGGAGAAUCGCUUGAAGCUGGGAGGCAGAGGUUGCAGUAAGCUGAGAUUGCUCCACUGCAUUCCAGCCUGGGUGACAGAGUGAGACCCCAUCUCAAAAAACAAAGUUGGGGCAGGGGGGGAUUUGCUAUCCUAUUAAAAAUUUUUGGAUCUUUUUUUUUAAAAACUUAAUGCUAUUUCUUGAACACCUUUACUUAAAGAAAAUAGAUAGCUAAAUAUUGCAGUGUGAAGAAAAAGGUCAAUAAAUAUUUGUUGAAUUAAUGUAACAUUUCCUUUGAUCACCAGCUGCUUCUAAUUCCCUACUUCAGGUAUUGUUGAAUACUACAUUGCUUUAGGCAAAAAGUGUUUUAUUUCUCACUGGAUCAAAAACAAUUAAGGAUGUCAUUUUCUCUUCUUCCUUUGAGUUCCAAUAAAUCUACAUUUGUUCUUGUUCCCUUGUUUAGAGGUGCAAUGGAAAAGAAGUUUGCAGAUUGUACUCCUGCCUGGUUGGAUAAACUCAUUUGAAAAUAAGCUCCUGUUUUGUGCAGAUGCAAAUUUAAAUGUGCUAUUUGUAACUAAUCACUGAUAAAAUAGAGAUUUCCAAAAUAUAUUGAGAAAAAGAGCUGCAGAAUAAUUUGCAAGUUUCAUAAAAUCAGGAAGAAUGCAUUUAAAAACUAAAGUAAGCUAGGAAGGAUGGCUCAUGCCAGUAAUCCUAGCACUUUUGGUGACUGAGGUGGGAGGAUCACUUGAGCCCAGGAGUUUAAGGCCAGCCUGUGCAACAUAGAUCUCAUCUCUACAAAAAAAUUAAAAAAUUAGCUAGAUAUGGUGGCAUAUACCUAUAGUUCCAGCUACUCAGGAGGCAGAGAUGGGAGGAUCACUUGAGCCUAGGAGGCUGAACCUGCAGUGAGUCAUGAUUGCACCACUGCAUUCUAGCUUGGAUGACACAGUGAGACCCUGUCUCAAAAUAAACAAAACAAAACAAAAAAGAAAAGAAAAACUAUGGUAGAAGUGGUAGGGGGAAUUGAGGGAAUGGGGGAAAGGAAAGGCCAAAGACUUUUUCUAUGCCUUUUAAUACUUUCUCAUUUUUGAACCAUCUGAAUAUAUAUGACUUGGGCAAAAAAAAUUUAAGCAAAAAAUAUUGCAUCUGUUUCUUUCAUUGUAACUAUGCUAAGUUUGGUGAAAAUUGUUCUUUAUUUUUAAAUUUUGUUUUCUCUUACACUAAACUAUUGUGAUGGUUAAUUUUAUGUGUUAAUUAGACUGGGCCAUGAUAUGCCCAGAUAUUUGGUCAAUCAAUAUUCUGAGUGUUCUGUGAGUGUAUUUUUGGAUGAGUUUGACUUAUUAAUAUUAUUGUUAAUAUUAUUUUUUAGACAGGGUCUCUCUCUCUGUCACCCAGGCUGGAGUGCAGUGGUACAAUCUUCGCUCACUGCAGCCUCAACCUCCUGGGCUCAAGUGAUCUUCUCACCUCAGCCUCCUGAGUAGCUGGGACUACAGGCAUGUGCUACCACACCUGGCCAAUUUUUCUAUUUUUUGUAGAGACAGGGUUUCACCAUGUUGCCCAAGCAGGUCUUGAACUCCUGGUCUCAAGCAAUCCCUCUACCUCUACUUUCCAAAGUGCUGGAAUUACAGGUGUAAGCCACCAUGCCUGGCUGAGUUUAACAUUUUUAAAUUUAAAUUUAAAUUUUUAUUUUUAUUUUUUUGAGACAGAGUUUCACUCUUGUUGCCCUGGCUGGAGUACAAUGGUGCAAUCUCGGCUCACCACAACGUCUGCCUCCAGGUUCAAGCGAUUCUCCUGCCUCAGCCUCCCAAGUAGCUGGGAUUACAGGCACCUGCCACCAGGCCCAGUUAAUUUUUGUAUUUUUAGUGGAGAUUGGGUUUCACCAUGUUGGCUAGGCUGGUCUCGAACUCCUGACCUCAGGUGAUCCACCUGCCUCAGCCUCCCAAAGUGUUGGGAUUACAGACAUGAGCCACCACGCCCGGCCUUAAAUUUUUAUUUAUAUUUUGAGGGGGUCUCAUUGUGUUGCCCAGACUGGAGUGCAAUGGCACGAUCAUGGCUCACUGCAAUCUCCACCUCCUAAGCUUGAUUCUCCUGCCUCUGCCUCCUGAGUAGCUGGAACCACAGGUCUGCA
rnacentral:lncRNA from 1 species